GACGAACGCUGGCGGCGUGCCUAAUACAUGCAAGUCGAACGAGAGCGACCGGUGCUUGCACUGGUCAAUCUAGUGGCGAACGGGUGAGUAACACGUGGGUAACCUGCCCAUCAGAGGGGGAUAACAUCCGGAAACGGAUGCUAAAGCCGCAUAGGUCUUCGAGCCGCAUGGCUUGAAGAGGAAAAGAGGCGCAAGCUUCUGCUGAUGGAUGGACCCGCGGUGCAUUAGCUAGUUGGUGAGGUAACGGCUCACCAAGGCCGUGAUGCAUAGCCGACCUGAGAGGGUGAUCGGCCACAUUGGGACUGAGACACGGCCCAAACUCCUACGGGAGGCAGCAGUAGGGAAUCUUCCGCAAUGGACGCAAGUCUGACGGAGCAACGCCGCGUGAGUGAAGAAGGUUUUCGGAUCGUAAAACUCUGUUGUUAGAGAAGAACAAGUGCUAGAGUAACUGUUAGCGCCUUGACGGUAUCUAACCAGAAAGCCACGGCUAACUACGUG
rnacentral:rRNA from 1 species